AAGUCGUAACAAGGUUUCCGUAGGUGAACCUGCGGAAGGAUCAUUAACGAGUGAGGGUCUCCCAGGCCCGACCUCCCAACCCCAUGUUUAUUGAACCUCUGUUGCUUCGGCGGACCCGUCUCACGGCCGCCGGAGGACCGCCGCGAGGCGUCCUCUGGCCCGCGUCCGCCGGUGGCCAACCAUCGAAACCCUGAAUUAAAUCGUGAUGUCUAAGUCUUAUGAUUAAAUUAAAGCAAAACUUUCAACAACGGAUCUCUUGGUUCUG
rnacentral:misc_RNA from 1 species